ensembl:lncRNA
UAAAAAUAGAAGAACUUGCCCUUAAGAAACAAAACUUGUGGUUCUUUAAGCUUUUCUUUGUCAGGCAGCCAAAAAAGACAACUUUACAUGGAGAUGUCACCAUUUGUUCAUGUCAAAAGUAGUUUAUUCAAUGAGAUGUUUUCUAACUCUGCUGGUUUAUAUGAAGAAGGUUAAUAUUUUUUAUUGUUUUUCUUCAUGCUGUGCCUGUAAUACACACAAAGAUAACUUAGCGUAGUAAAAUAUACAGUGUAAUUUGGUAGUGUGUUUAUUGGAUUCCACGAGGAGACUCUGAGAAAUUAUUCAAGAUUUUUGCUUCUUCAACUGAAAAUACCUCCUUUUUUCUUUCUUUCUUUCUUUUUUUUUUCUGCAUAAUCUUGCAAGCUUUUUGUUUUCUGGAAAUGCUUGAAAGAAGAGAUUGUUAGAAACAGACUUGUAGUGGGCUUUUGUUGGUUUUCUUUGCUUGUCUGUUUUUGUUUUGUUGUUUUCUCCCCAGAGUCAGGAAGGAGAAGAAUGUUUAUAAUUAUUCCUGCUUUUCAAAAUUUGCGUCCACGGUUCUCAGGCAUAUCUGGCAUCAGGCAGAAUGCACAAAGUGACAUGAGAGGGUGUCUGGACUAAAGUAUAGGCAAGAGAAGCUAAACUAAGCCCUACUAAGCAGAGCAACGUCCCAGUCCUGCAAGAAGCUGGUGCUGAAGUGCAAAAGGGUCUGCAAAAACUGAAGACAAAGGAAGCCUCAAAAUAGUGAAACUUCAGAUGAGAAAUUCUUGUGUGUGAGUUCUGGUUUGUUUGUUUGUUUGUUUGUUUUUAAUAUUCCCUACAACCUCUUUAUCUCUUUUACAUUUGAAUGAACUAAAGAAACCAAAAUCUGAGGAAACUGGCUGUGGCAAAAAGCAGAGCCAAGGCCAGGUUUCCAGGGGAUGAGUAAGAAAGAAACCUACAGCAAGUAACCAAAACCAAAACCCAGCCUCGAGCUGUUAUCAUCAAGUUAUCUUGAGUAAACUAUGUAUUGUGUAUUUCCUGAAGAGCAUGACCAAAAUUCAUUGAGACCAUUGCUCUCUCAGUAGGUUAUGGCGAAAUGCCCAACUAAUGUUGUAUGCCUCCUUUUUGAUUCAUAGCCAAAAGGAUUUGUUGGUUUGUUUUCACUCAUUCCUUACUCAUGAAAAAGAAGUGAGCUUAAUGGGUUUUGCAAUUCAUUUUUCAUUUGUUCGGGAGCACUUCCUCCAUCCAAACCAUAGACAGAUUGUUUCCCAGCAUAGAAAAAUCUGUACUGAUGUGGCUGAGAUUUAGCCACCUCAUUUGCUCUACCAGGAGCGCUCUGAACUUCUGCAGGGCACAGUGAGUUUCUGGUGGCAGCACCAAACUUGACU